AGUGAAAUUGCUGGGUUAUAUGAUAGUUCUAUUUUUAAGGAAUCUUCAUACAUUUUUCCAAAAUGACUUUACUAAUUUACAUUCCCACCAGCAGU
rnacentral:pre_miRNA from 1 species